rnacentral:lncRNA from 1 species
AACUAAACAAAAUACUUAGGCUACAUUUCCAGAGCAUUUCUUCCAUUUUCGAUUUUCAAAAGUGUUAUAUGUUUCAUCGAAAAAAACAAAGUGGGGAAGAAUACAAUGGAGAACCUCUCUCCAUUUUCUCUUUUGCUAUCUAGUCCAAACUCCAAACAGAUUGCACCUAAACUAGAAUGAAAACAUGAAAAUGAAAACAAAAGGGAUUAUUAGGUCAUGUGGUGUCCCCACUUUCAUCUGUGAGAUCUGGGCCGUAAAAUGCCCCCUCCUUUCCUUUAUAUAAUACUACCUCCCCUCUCUUUCUUUGCUCAAGUAGUUCUGAAUAUUGUCUCUUCCUUCCUUCUGGCUAGCACUCACAACCUUUCUUUUAGCUCUAUCAAUAAUCCAAAAGCUUCUCUCAAUCUGAACAGCUUCAAUGGCCUGUUUAGAGGUCUGCAACGAGGUAGUUUAGCAUACCCUUUCAAUGUCCUUGCUUCUUUCAUUCAUCUUUUUGAUCGAGCUCCUAUUUUUAUUCAUCUCUGUUUCAUUUAAUCAUGUCCACCUUCUUGGCAUGAUUUCUUAUUUUACCGCAUGCAUUCUUGAGUAAUGGCAACACUUGAUUGUGUGAUCAUAUAUGGAAGCAAAAAAAUCAGCUUAGUUUAUUGAUUUCAUCUCUCUUGUAUGAAAAAAAAAAAAAUCAGGUAAAGUUCAAAGAAGAUGAAGAGGGAACCACCAACACUCUUGAUGGAAGUGUAGACAUGCAUGGCCGGCCAGCAAUCAGAGCAAAAUCGGGAAGAUGGGUCGCCGGAAUCAUCAUUCUUGGUAAGCACCGUUUUCUCAUAUCAGUCCUCCAGAAACCCAAGAAACAAAGACAAAGAAAACUCACAUGUCUUGGUUUUCUUGGUUUCUUCAGUUGUGCUUGUGCUUAUAUGACAAAAUCACUAACCUCAUUUCAAACAUCAACCUCAUCAAAUUGUUUCUUUCAAAGUCCCCUCCUUUUAUUAACCAGUACUGAAGACAAGAUACUCUUCUAGGUCUUGUUCUGCGGGCUAGAACAUUUAACAACCUUUUGAAAAAGAGCAAAACUGGGAUGAAAUGAAAGCCUGUGUAUUAGAUAAGCAGUUUGAUUUUUCUUUGAUAAGCUAGAAGCAGAUAUAAGUGAUACACUUGGGACACUGCAACCCAGAACCAAGUGUUGCAUGCUGGGUGUCUCUACAGCCAGCUAAACUCCACUACAAAAAUACAUGCCCCAAUUUAAGGUGCCAGACUGCCAGUUCACCGCCCACAAGAACCAUGUUUUUCUGUUUUAGAGAGAGAAACUGAGAGAGAGAGAGAGAGAGAGAGAGACUGGGAAGUAGACGACAUCCAUGACGAAAGAGUAGUAGAGACAGAGAGAGGGAGCGUGAAAGUGAGGAAAGCAUGCAUUCAGAGUAAUACGUCUCAGACACGUAAUCGGUGUCUGAUUUUGCAUGACGUAUGUUUUUGUCACGUGUCCUUUCUUCCAAUCUUACGUUAAAGGGUUACGAAAAAAAAAAAAACUUACAUGUUUUCUGCAAAAACAAAAAAAAGGGUCUAUUUUUCUCAUUAGAACAAAGAACCCAGAAAAUCAUAGACAUAAUCACAUACAAGAAGCUUUUGAGAUGCAUGAGUAAUGUGUUCAUUGUUGCUGGAGAUUAUAAUUGGGUUUUUGGUUUAUGGUCAUAUAUCCUAGUUUCCACUAAAGUUUGGAAGAAAAGAAUGCCUAAUCUAAAUUAAGCAUGACUGUAAAUAUCCAAAUAUAACUGCAUCACACCUUAAAGCUUUUCUGCUUUGGCACGUCCCAUCGAGUUCAGGUCACUUUGGUGUCUUAAACCCAUUUUAUUCGACUUGUAAACAACAACAACUAAAAGAAAGCCUUAUCUAUUUUUCAAUAGUAGUUUCUAUUAAGACUCUUGUAAAUGAACCUAAUUGAUGUGCAUGCUAUACAGCUAGAGAAGGAACUGUAUAUGUGUGCAUCUGAGUUAGAUUUCAGCUGUAGAUGAUUGUAACAAUCUGAUGCAUAUGUUGGAGACGGACCAAAUUAUGGGACAUCUUGAACAUGGUUGAUUAUGAAUGCUAAUCACAUGUGGUUUUCGAUUAUGUUCUCAAAAUGUUUUCCGAAACUUCUCUUCCAAUCUUCAUAAUAUUUGUUACCCUUGGAAUCGAAGCGUUUGAUUUCAAUGCCAAGCAACUCAGAAAUUGAUUUCUUUGGUCAUCUAUAGCAUGGAACAACUUCUUAGCUUAAUUUGGCUUCUGAAUUGCCCUUCUAACUUCAGUUCAGAAAGAUGUCAGAGGAAAAAAAUAAGACUUCAAUCCGUUAGAAGUUAGAACUUAGAACUUAGAAGCACAAUUGUUGCAUGAAACUUUAUUACAUGUAUCCCUGGGUCUUUGAAUUUAGAUUAGCUUCAAAAUAUUUUUACAAACUCGUUCUUCUUCGCACAGCUUUAAACUACGCCUCAAAUAUUCCAAUCUAGUUAAAUCUUUCAGUAUCAAUAGUUCUCUAAAGUUGAAAUCACAUUUUUUGAACCUUCUGACCCUUUCGUUAUUCUGUUGUUCCACUGAAAACCAGUGAACCAAGGUCUGGCAACCCUAGCAUUCUUCGGAGUUGGGGUGAACCUGGUUCUUUUCUUGACCAGGGUGCUGCAACAAAACAAUGCAACAGCAGCUAACAGUGUGAGCAAGUGGACCGGAACUGUCUACAUCUUCUCCUUAGUUGGUGCCUUCCUCAGUGAUUCUUACUGGGGACGCUAUAAGACUUGUGCCAUCUUUCAGAUCAUAUUUGUCAUAGUAAGUGUCAUUCGCUUCCAAUACUUAUUGAGAUUCACACAAUGAGCUAAGCACUUUUUCAUUUUGCUUCCAUUAUGUUCCAAGACGAAUUGAGAAUGAGUAGUACUACUCUUUCCAAUGCUUUGUUUGUAACACAUUUAACUUGCAGGGACUGGCUUCAUUGUCGCUAUCAUCGCAACUCUUCUUACUGAGGCCCAAAGGUUGUGGGAGCCAAGAAAAUCCAUGCGGAACUCAUCAAGGCUACCAAAUUGCAUUAUUCUACCUUUCCAUCUACCUCAUUGCCCUAGGAAAUGGAGGGUACCAACCAAACAUUGCAACAUUUGGAGCUGAUCAAUUUGAUGAAGAGGACCACAGGGAAGGACACUCAAAGGUGGCAUUUUUCAGCUACUUCUACCUGGCAAUGAACCUAGGCUCCCUUUUCUCCAACACCAUAUUAGGGUACUUCGAGGAUGAAGGAAUUUGGGCACUUGGGUUCUGGGCGUCCACUGCGUCUGCGUUUGCAGCACUGGUCUUGUUUCUUAUAGGGACUCCUAGGUACAGGCACUUCAAGCCAAAUGGGAAUCCUCUUGCAAGGUUUUGCCAAGUCUUGGUUGCUGCUGUAAAGAAAGGCAAGGUAAAUAUGCCAUCAGGUGGAGAGGAAUUAUAUACAGAGGAAAAAAAGGAGUCCUCCAACCGAAAGAUCCUCUACACCCAUGGGUUCAAGUAAGAGCAUAUAGAAACUCUGUGUUCUUGAUACUUGGCUGAUUCCAAUAUAUAUCUUAUCAUUGUUAUGACCAUAGAAGCAUAGAGCUAACUUCCUUUGAAUACAGGUUCCUGGACAGGGCAGCAUAUAUCUCAUCAAGGGAUUUAGACAACCAGAAACAGGGUCUUCAAGACCCAUGGCGUCUCUGCCCUAUUACCCAAGUGGAAGAAGUUAAAUGCAUUCUAAGGUUACUCCCAAUUUGGCUGUGCACCAUUCUCUACUCGGUGGUUUUCACACAAAUGGCUUCUCUGUUUGUAGAGCAGGGAGCUGCUAUGAAAACCACUGUUUCAAACUUCCGCAUUCCGCCAGCAAGCAUGUCUAGCUUCGAUAUCCUCAGUGUGGCAGUUUUCAUUUUCUUUUACCGCCGCAUUCUUGACCCACUAGUGAGCAGAAUAAAAAAAUCUGAUUCCAAAGGACUUACUCAGCUUCAGAGAAUGGGAAUUGGCCUUGUUAUAGCAAUCUUAGCAAUGGUUUCAGCUGGAAUUGUGGAGUGCUACAGACUCAAGUAUGCGAAGAAAGAAUGCACCCAUUGCGAUGGCUCAAGCACCCUAAGCAUCUUCUGGCAAAUACCGCAGUAUGCAUUCAUCGGCGCUUCUGAAGUUUUCAUGUAUGUAGGUCAGUUGGAGUUCUUCAAUGCACAAGCACCAGAUGGACUGAAGAGCUUCGGAAGUGCCCUGUGCAUGACAUCCAUUUCUCUCGGUAACUAUGUUAGCAGCUUGCUCGUGAGUAUGGUCAUGAAGAUAUCAACUGAAGAUCACAUGCCCGGAUGGAUCCCUGGAAACCUCAACAAAGGCCACCUAGAUAGGUUUUACUUCCUCUUAGCUGCCUUGACAUCAAUAGAUUUGAUUGUCUACAUUGCAUGCGCCAAGUGGUACAAGUGUAUCAAGUUGGAGGGAAGAUUUGAAGAAAAUGAAGAGCAAGAGAACUUCAAAGUCUGAUGGAAACAUCAAGGAGGCAUGUUAAGACCUAUGCUAGCAACCUAUAUUAAAUAAGACGAAUGAGGUCCUAAACAACGGGGUAAAAGGAACUGUUUUCUCACCAACUCUCUUGCACCCGUUUUUCUCUGUAUCUUUAGCAGCAACACUGUACUUUUUAUGUCCAGGCUUGUUCUAGUAGAGGUGGGUAGCUUUUGGUUUAGGUCUUAGGAUCUUCCCUCAUUCUCAUUUGUUUGUUUUAUUGCUAGCUAUAGACUUAACAUGCGCUUCUAGAGAAAUCUAUUGUACUGAUGGGAACUCUUUGAAGCUGUAGUAAUAUGUAAGAGAACUGCUCUGACUUUUAAUGGAAGCACCUCUUCCCUCAGACUUGCUUCUAUAUUUCCUUGUAAGAGUCUAGUGAAACAAUGUUAGCAAAGGGUUUUGGCAACCAUAGGUUUCAACAAGGCUUCUUCCCAGGGAAACUAGGACUUUGUGACCAUAUUCUGCUUUCUAGGAUGGAUUCUGGUUUGCUGAUAGCCAACAAUGGAAAGAAACUUGACGAUAUAUCAUUUCCUCAUUCCUCCUUUGGCAACAUAAUAAAUACUAUGAGGAUGAUGAUGUCUAUCUAAAGAAGGAUGAAGGCUCUGUUUAGGAACUAGCAGUAAGUAACCUAAAUAACUACCUCAAAGGAAAACAAUAAUUUUUUCCGAUUUAAGCAAAAGCCAAGUGGCCGAAGCAGUUGAAUCUAUAAUCACAUAUACUUUUGACAGUAUGGCUGAUAACUGUCCUAUGCAAAGUGUAUUGGCCAUGUAAACUGUAAAGAAAAGGACCAAAAUCAGAAAACAGCAUUCACAAAGAGAAGUUACAACUCUGUAUGGCAUAGAUUUAAAGAAUACGAUCCAUGCAGAUGAUUCUUUAAGAAAAUUGAUUUGAGCUGAUAAACAGUAUCAAUAAAAGCAAACAAAUAAAUUAAAGAAAACAAAUUCACAGUACACUCUGCAACAUCUAAAAUUGGUAUGACAUGAUUUCUUUAUGUAUUAGAUAUAAAUCAACUUGAUCUACUUUUGCAUUCAAAAUUGGGGCUAUAUUCAUUAGAUUUCAGCAAGUUCAACACAAAUGUAAAUUCGACUAUCAACAACCAAAACAAACCUAAAAAUAAAUUCUCAUUGGUUCGAAAUACUUUCCACCUUACGAACUUGGAUAUGAUGAGAAGAUUCUUUACGCCAGAUUGGUUGUGCGCCACUUUGGACAAGAGUAACAUGCUCUCCCUCUUUCAAAUGUCCCUUAGCCUAUGCAUCAAAUUUAUUGAAACAGUUUUACCACAAACGAAGAAUAAGAUAAAGGAAGAAACAGAUUAAGAAAUCAGUGAUCACUAACCACUAAUAGCUGUAUUGCUCUUGAGUAAGUCUCCUCUGAAUCAUUUGAGAAUUGCAUAUAUAUUGGGAGGACACCUUGAUAAAGCACCAAUCUCUGCUUAAUCCUUUCUCUACAAAGCAUAGAAAAUGUCAUGAGUUUAGAACAGAUAACAAAAAAAACAAGUUUAACUUGUACACUUCCAUAACCCCUCGGACAGAAAGACAACAGUGAUUGCAUUUGCAACUGGCAUAUGAAGCUAAAACAUUGUGGAAUAAUUUCAAGAGUAAAAACCUAAAAUAGUACCUGAACUAUUGUGAAAGGUACUUUUUGGUACCUACGAAUUUUUUUAAUUGAAAUGGUACCUCAAGUAUUGCUCCAUUACCAUAUCAGGUAAUGAAGUAACACUUGAGGUACCAUUUUGUUAGGUUUCCAGCCCAUGUGUUUUUCGUAAGAUGUUUCGUCUUAGAGUAUGGUGUUCCAAUAAGGAAAGUAAAUCCUUAUUGAUGAUGGUGUACCUGUAAUCUUGAUAGGAAUAGGAUUCCUAUUUGGUGAAGAGAUCUGAAGAUCCUUAUGGCUAUAUAAGGAGGGGGUCAGCUCUAGGUUUUGAAUCGCAGAGACGAAGACCAAAGUGUGUUCCAUUCUCGGUUAGAGGGUGAGAGAGGGCAGAGAGGAGAGAGAUAGGAAGAGAAGUGAGAGAGUCCUUGUUUUCUUAUUCUUUAUGGUGUACCCAUUAUUAAUAUAGUGGAAAUGUUUUCUGCCGGUGGAUGUAGGCAAAGGUUUUGCUGAACCACCUUAAAUCUGUGUUCUUUGUGUCUUGUCUCUGUGGUUGUUUCUCUUGGUUUGCUGUGUUCUUUUGGGGUUCCUUGACAUACAUAAUUGGCCGAUAUCACAACACAUUUCAAGUAAAAAAAAAUCGUAGGUACCAAAAUAUACCUUUCGCAAUAGUCCAGGUACCAUUUUAGGUUUUUACCCUAAUUUCAAUGCCGCAGAAAACCUUAAAAUUCCAUUAAGGGUCAGAAUGGAGCUAAACAUAAUUUAAAUUUAAAUUUAGUUUUACAGCAAUAUGACUCACGAAAAUGUUCAGACUUCAGAGUAAAAAUAGAAGAGAACAGUAAAUAUCCAGUAUAGGGGUUAACACAAUAUUAGUCUCAAAUGUGAUGAACUUUUAGCUUUAAACACCAAAAAACACAGUUUAGGAGAAGGUUAGUUGUGUGAGAAGUAUUCCGUGGAGGCAGAGAGAGGGGUUGUGUUGGUAGUAUUUCAGUGUGGAUGACAAAGAAUAUGAGGAUCUUUGAGGGAGUAAGGGGAGACGAAGCAGAUCAGUUAUUAGCAUCCACUUGGGCACCAGUGUCUUUUCAGUUUUGAAUUAUUCCUUCUGGGCUCUUUAGCAUGAUUGAAAUGCUGUUGUGCUUUAGAAGACUGUGAUGUACUCUUUUAAAUGUGACAUCUUGACACAACUCCAGUUAUUAAUUUUAGUGGUACCUACACUAUCCAUAAGACUCAUUAUCUCGUGUCCAUUUCUUAUAAGCAAAUAUAAAUGGAAUUGUGCACAAAAAACAAAAGAUAGAAUACAGCCCACCGUCCUUGACAUAAUUAUGAUAAGCGAAGAGCUAUACCACAGAAGACUGAUUUUUUUUUUUUUUUAUCUACAGCAGCUAUGUAACAGGAGUGACAUGAUAUUUCUUUUCAUCCAAAUCUAAACAAUUUGUGGGCACAGAAAGGGAAGUACUAUUUAAAGCUCACAUUUUUUCCAGGCCAUACAUAUGUCAUAUGCGUAUACUGCUGCACUAUAAAACUAAAGACCAUUGUGUGGACCUAAAAAUAUAUCAAAAUAUAUAUGCACCAUUUUCAGACAUAAUGCAUAUAUUAGGAUAUCGGACUUACUCAUUUGUGAAGGCAAAGAUAGUGGAGCAUGGCCUAUAAUGGCUUAAGAGUACAGCCAUGGAUCCUGUCCUUGUAAAAACAAUGAUGGGUGUAUUGAGACUGUUGGCCAUAAUUGUAGAGUGGAAAGCAAACAUUUCCCCCAUAUGUCUCUGUAAAAAACGUCCACAUUUAAGAUUCAACGAGCAGGAGCCUCAGGCCAAAGACAACAUAUAGUUAAAAAACCAAAAGGAAGAGAACAAAAAAAAAAGCAAAAUCCAUGAAAAAAAAAAAACAUAAAAUCCUAUGUAUGACCACUGCAUACCUUGUAGGCACUUAAUUGGAUCGGAGGAAUAGUGCUAAUUGGUAGACUUGACUCAGUCCUCAAUGCCACAGUAUGCAUUACUUUAACAGCUUUGAGUGGAUAUCUAGACAUGAACUUACAGAAGUAAUAAAUAUAUGGAAGCACAUAUUGCCUGCUAUAAAAAUUUAAGCUGGUUCAACAAGAGAUGAUAUACAUGCUUCAGCCACAAACAAGGGAAAGCCAAAAGAAACAGAAGAACCAAGAUUUUCAAUUAUCCAUACUAUUAGGCAAGUCAACAGCCAACAACAAAAGAUGAACCUAUAAUAAUAUUAGUCUAGAUUUUUUCAGACUCGCCCUCUCUAAAAACAAUUAUCAUUUGAUCACAUGGUAGACAACCUCAGAUUUCACCUAUAAUAAUUAAUGUCAGAUGUUAGGGAAUGCUAUACUUAUAUAGUGACACCCUCCAGUGGCAAGAGAAUAAACCACAACAGACUGACACACGACAUUACCAAUUAGAACCAGGAAAAGUUUACAAAUUGAGAACAUGGAAGUGAUAACAUGAAACUAUUGUUCAAACAGAUCUACCGAAAAAUCGAAUAUAGCCCUUGAACAAUGUGGAAAAACAAUUACAUAAAGUGAUAAAACCACAAGGAUGAAGAGAUAUUUCCAGUGUACCCAAAAUAGCCCACAAAAUAUGUGGAGAAACAAAUAAAUAAAAACAAAUAGAUUAUUCCCACAUUACAGUGGUCCAAUGGUUAGAGACAAUAGAAUCAAUUUUCUAUCAGAACAGUAGCUGGGAGUCACAAAAGCAUCUAAUGAAUACUAGUGUACUUACUUUCCAUGGGCAGUUUCUCCAGAAAGCAUGAUGGCAUCGGCACCUUCUCUCACUGCAAUUGCAAUGUCAGAAACUUCUGCCCUGGUUGGUGUAGGAUGAUCGAUCAUGCUCUCCAACAUAUUAGUUGCUACAAUAACUGGUUUCUGCAUAGUGUGACACCUUCUAAUGAUGUCUUCCUGUUAAGAUAACAUAGGGUUCAGUUCCAUAACAACAUUAGCUUCAAAGUUGAUCACAAAUAUUAACAGCUCAAGCUAUGUAAAGAAAUAUCAUCAGAGGGCCUAAGAUAUCCUACACGCUGGGUCAUCCAUUAUUUGUCAUCUCUCAAACACAGAUAAAGUUACUGUUACAUGCACUUCCUGGUUUGGGUAUGAAUUUGAUAUAUUUGAUCACAUCCGACUAAAGACAUCCUAUAAACUUCUUCCGCCACCACUCAAUAUAGUCACCAUAGUUGGAGAUAUGCUAUCUCUUAGAGUAUUUAAAAGGGAAAUAGAGUUUAAUCCUCAUAUAUGAUACACAUAGAUCUGAUAACCAUAUGUCAAAAUUAAGUAGUAACAAUUAUUUCAAAUUAGAUGGUACGUUGAAAAGAUGCCAAUUAAAAGAUUUCAAACUACCAUCACCUUUGCUUCAAUUUUUGUUAAAAAACCAUGAUUUUUAUACAUAGAUCCAUAAUUCACAGUUAGAUUACUGAAAACUUAUUUCUUAACUAGAAAUUCAGAAUAGAGCAGUCCAUUAUUAUUGAUAUGUAUGACUGGCAUUCUGCCUCAGACUUGUAUCAUUUCGAGUCAGUGCAUAUAUAUAACAUGAAUGAAAUUACCUGCAACAAAGGAACUUCCUCAAUUGGAAGCUCAGCUCCAAGGUCUCCACGAGCAAUCAUAGCCUAUAAAGUCCACCAACAAAAAUGAAACUACAUAAUAUGCCAUUGCUGAUGGUAAUAACUAACAAUUGAGGAUCAGCUGGGCUACUGUUCAUGAAAAUAAAGUCACAACUAAUGCUAACCCCAUCAGAUGCAGAAAUUAUUGAUUGAAGAUUUGGUAUAGAGUCUGCACUUUCAAUUUUUACAAUAACAUGAAUAUCUGCAUUACAACCUGCAAGAAAUACAACACUCAGUUCAGGAGUCAAUAACAUAGAGAAGCACCAAAAAGAAAUUAACUAAAAAUGAAUAAGAGAUUGAAAGUAGGAAUAACUGAGGUGUCUAGAGUAAUACCUUUGAGAUAAUCUUUCAACUCAUGAACCACCGCAGCACUUUUUACGAAUGAGACAGCAUAGAAAUCAACUCCAUUGUCCACUCCAAACUUGAUAUCUUCCCAGUCUUUUUCUGUAGAAAGAGAUCGAUAGAGCAUUAAUGAAAAUUGUAGUUGGAAUAUAGGAUGAGAGAUGUUCUGCUGACUGGAUCAAAAUGGUAGGGAAAAGCAGUUCAUCAAGAUUAGAUAAAAUAGUUCUUAACAAAGGAAUAAUCAGAUUUGGUAAUCGGUAAUUUUCCGGUGAAAUAAGCCUUUUUUUUUGGGAAGUGGUUGUAUUGGACUUGGCAGAGGAUUCAUUAUGGCUACAGUUUAGCAGAAAAUAUGGUGUUCUUAACAUAUAUAUCGAUCCAUUCUCUAAUAACUUAAUUUUUUUGGAUAACAGUGCAUAGUCAGAUGUCUAAUUACACACACACACACACACACAACAAAAAAAAGAAGCUAAAUUGUCGUGCAGUUGCACUGUGUUAGCCUUUUCUUUUUGUUCAUCUGGAUAUAAAGUAAUAAGAGUUUUUCUGGUAGUUUGGGUCAGGUGAGGAUUGGGAUGAGCUGACAAGGCCAGAUCAUGCUCAUUGCCUGGUAUCACUAUACACAUAAUUUAUGGCUUCCCAACUCGUUGAUGUUUAUCUGGCUCAGAAGGCUAUAGUAUGUUAGUAAAUUAAUAUUACUGUUUUCUUUAUUUCUUACAUGUUUGUUCCUUCUUAUAAAUAACAAUGUGGACAACAAAUGGAAAAAUUCAAAUAAACUCGCACAACAUUAAUGAAGAAUACCUGUUAUUGAAGGCAGAGUUGCACUUUUUCCACGCACAUUUAAAUGGCGCCUUGAUUUUAGUUCUCCUCCAUCAACUACUAAACAUUUUACCACAUCUUUUGUCUUUGACUUCACAGCUAAAGACAUCAUCCCACCUGGUAGAAACACAAGCUACAUCAUCAGGUAUCGUCAAAUUUUCAAAAUAUGAGUAUAAAAGGGAGAUGGUGAAAGAACUCUCUUUGUUACAUUCAUAGCUUAUGAACUCAGCACAUCAAAUAUUUGACAUGUAUACACACAAGUACGGAGUCUUUUCUCUUGUCAGAUGACAGCAUGCUAUGAUAUCAGACUCACAAUCUGGAAUAGAUCACGUACUUAUUUGCUUAAACAAUGUCUCAACAACUUGAGGUUAAGAAACACCAGCGCACUAAAAAAAUCUAGUAUAGCUCUAUAGACUGGCUUUUCUCAUCAAAGUUGAUCACAGCAAUAAAUCAAUAAAUUUUUCAAGCUCCCAAUUACAGAGUUCUAGAUUCCACUGAAUCACAUGCACAAAAUAAGGGCCGUCAAUCUCUUGGAGUCAACAUUUAACUUUCCAGUACAUACUUACAAGUUACAACAAGAACAAGUCAGCUCAAAUGAAAAUUAGCUCAUCUACCAAUUUCGCACCCACAAAGAGACAGCUAUACUUACCAUCAACCAGAACUAUGUCUCCAACCUCCACAUCAUUCACAAAGUCAUCAUAGUUUACACUAACAGUGUCUUUUGUGCAAACUCCUCUUUUAAUUGUAAAGUUGAGCUCUUGUCCCUCUGCAAGCAGAAUUGGUUGAGGCACAUCCCCACUCCUAACCUCAGGACCCUACAUGAAUCAUAUAAAAAACUAUGACCUUAAAACUUUGAAUGGAAACCACAUAAAAAGAAGGUGGAAGAAUGAGGAUGAUCUAUGAAAGAGUAAAGACCCUGAGCACCUAACAACAGGCUCAUUACAAUAUGAGCAGGUGAAGAACGAGACGAAAAUGUAAUGUGAAUGUACCUUGGUGUCCAGCAUUAUGGCUAUAACCUUGUCUUUGAAUUGAGAGUUGUACUCUUUGACAAGAUCAAUGGUUUUCUGGUGCGACGUAUGGUCCCCGUGAGACAUAUUCAAACGCGCUACAUUCAUCCCAGUUUCUGCAAGUUUCCAUAUCAUUUCACGUGAGCUUGUGGAAGGACCAAUGGUACAGACUAUCUUAGUUUUUCUUCGGCCACAGGCAAAUGCCCUUCCCUGACCCACAUGGUAAUCAUCAUAAGACCGAAUUUCAUAAGUCAAGUUAACCCCCUGAAACAAAUCAACAACAUUUCACGGUUACAACUUCAAAGCACUCACGACUGAUACUACCAAUGCACUCUCACGGCAAACGUUCCCUCACUACACAGCAAACAAAAAAGUAGGCAGUUCAACUAAUUCAACAAAUUUGACAACUAAAUUUCCAAGUUUCUUCUUUUAGCCUAAGCUUUCUAAGAGCAUAGAUCAUAACAAACUAACAACAUAGGUGUUUCAAGCACACUUCAAGCAAAAGACACACUUUCUGCCAAUGUUGCCAAGCAAUUUUGAAACCCAUGAUCUCAAAUUUCGAAAGUAUCAAUCUUUCAACAGUCUAACUAAACAAGCAAUACAAAACAAACUCAAGGAAACACAUGAAAUCAAUACAACAACCCAUAUUGAGAGAAAAGGGAAACUCACAACACCACCAACAGGGCCAUUAGGAGAGGCAGGACUGCCUCCACUGCUCUGCUGGGUGAUCCUCACUGAUCUAACACUGAACAUUUGCUUCCGGUCAUUUUCUCUCUUGGGUCUGUAGUCAAAGACAAUAGAUUCUCCCAAACUCUUGGAGGAAGCCAACCGAUCAGUGGACCAUGUCCGGUCAGGCUUCAGGGACAUCCUGGCCGGAACAUUAAGAGUCGUCAUUGAACAAAAAAAAAAACAACAAAAAAAAAGCUCUGAUGGUAUUGGUAGACUCGAAAAAAGUGAGAGGUUAGGAGACAAAAGGCAAAGGGUGUGUUUAUGUGGUGAAACGGAAGAGAAGGAACACAAGGACGAGAGAGAGUCUCGUUAACAAGUAACGAAGAGGAGGCAGUGAGUCCAGGUAUACUUGUUUUGCUUGUUUACUAACUAUUUUGGACAGUUGCCCCAGUCUUGGACAGACUCACUUGUUUCCUCUGGCAUAUUCUGCAGUAUAAAGCCUUUCGUGUUUUUCUCAUUCUUUUUGGCUGCAUUGCGGGACCGGUCCUCUUUAUUUUUCAUAUUUUAUUUUAUUAAGGGUAGAAGAGUCUUUUGCCAUAAAACCUAAGUGAUUGUCGACCGGAAUACUAACUCGGAAUAUAUAUCGUCCACCUGGACGGCCCCCUGUCCAUUUUUAUACAGGGCUUCUAGAGUAACAAUCACUAUUAAAAGUAGAUAUUACAAGAGAAGCUCAUAUUCUCGUUAAGAAAGCACAUGCUCGUGCACAGUAAAACAUACAACAUUUUUCAUAUCCUCUUAAUUUUAAGGUCAGUUUCAAUUGAUGUAACGUCACAACACACGAAAGUAAAUUUACCGAUCACUUUUAUUUACCCACCCUAAUACCCACACACCUCGUUUUAUGACAUGUGUCAUUUUUGUUAAGAGUGUGGCUAUUGAGACCUCCAAAUUUACUCACUAUACCUCUCAUUCUCUCAACAUCUCUCUUUUACUUUUCAAUAUAAGUAUUUGCUUACUACACCUCAUUUUAAAUUUCUAACACAACCUUAGUUAUUUAUUGAUAUAUAUUUCAAUCAAUUAAUUACCUCUUAUUCACUCAAUAGACCUCUCAUUCUUUGUUUUUUUUUUUCCUCUCUUUUUAUUUUUCAACAUCCAUUAUGCCUAUCUUCAUUUUUUGCUUACUUUUUUCAUGCAAGAAAAUGUUCUAUCAUGAACUAUUCUAUAUAUCUUUUUAAUUGUUUUUCUCUUUUGUACUUUCUCCAUUUUUUUUUCUUUUGAAUAAUUUGAUCUCUGUUUUGUACCUCAUAAUAAAUUAUUUCAAUAAAUAUAUAUUUUCAAUAAAUAUAUAUUUUCUAAAAAUCGAUAGAUAUUUUUUUUGUACAAAUAUUUAUGCACCUUGCAAGUAUAUGCAUUCAACAUGUAUGAUAAUACAAAAUUGUAUGUCUCAUAAUCGAUAUUGAUUAUUUUCUUAGCUCUUAUAAACUAUAUAUAUGCUUUAAUAAUAAAAAUAAAUUGAAAAACAAAAAUAUAUAAAGAAAAUAAUAAAGAAUAGAAUCAAUUAUUAUUGAAUUAGAAAGUCUAAAAAGAAUAAAUAUAAUAUUUUCUUUUGUAUAAUUAUUGUCCAUAAUAGUCAUUGUGUAUAAGGAUGUAUAUGUCAUUUAAUAAUUCACAAUAAAAUGAGGUCUAGUGAGCAAAUUUAGAGGUCUCAAUAGCCGCACUCUUUUGUUAACUAUACUAAACCAUGGUUAACAAACAAGAAUAAAUAAAUAUUGUUUUCUUUUCAUUUAUAAAUUUCGUAACAACACUAGUGUUUUUAAUAAAAAAAAGCAACAUGUCCGUCACAACACUAGUGAUUUUCCUUGCUAUUAUAAAUUCUAAUGAGAAUUCGUGCAUGACCGAGUUUUAAAAUCUCGAAACAACUUUUUUUUAUUAUUACAUAAAUUUUAACUGCGGAAAUCGAACUCAUAAUCUUUCACUUAUUAAAUGAGAGACUAUGCCACUAGAUUAAAUGGUAUUGGACAAUCUCAAAACUACUCGUACAUUAUUCGUUAAAAAAGUGUAUCUUUUUGUUAAUUUCUUAUUUCUUUCUCCGGCUGUAAAAAGAAAAACACAAUUCGCGCAGUUCCAGUCCCCGAACCCAAUCAAAACUUGAAGACCCUGCUGUUGCUGCUGCUGCUCCUCACCGAGUCACUGGUCCUAUUCACACAGAAAAUCAAAAAUGAAGAUCUCCAAGACGACCAAGACGCCCAACACUACCGCAACUCUCUUCUAAGAACUAACCAUUCACUUCUUCAAUCGCCGCCGUCCCUUCCUCCACCUCCUCCUAUCAUCUCAAGGUAACCCCUUUGCUAUUUUAGUAAUUUACACCCACAUUGGGGAUUAGGGUUUUAAUUUUAAUUUUAAUUUUAAUUUUUUACCGACUCCUUUUCGUGAGAGAGUAGGAAAUCCAGAUUGAAUUAGGAUUUGCAAUAUUAAUCAGACUAUAUAAGAUUGAGUUGCAAUAUUUACCCAAAAAAAUAUAAGACUGAGUUGUAGUAGAGGAAAAGUUGUAAAUAUUGAGAAUGGGAGUUCCGGCUUUCUAUAGAUGGUUAGCGGAGAAGUAUCAGCUUGUUGUUGUAGAUGUGGUGGAGGAGGAACCCAUUGUGAUUGAUGAUGUUUCGAUUCCGGUUGAUACCUCCAAACCCAAUCCUAAUGGUCUCGAGUUUGAUAAUUUAUACCUAGACAUGAAUGCCAUUAUCCACCCUUGUUUUCACCCUGAGGAUAGGCCGAGUCCGACCACAUUUGAUGAGGUGUUUCAGUGCAUGUUUGAGUAUAUUGAUAGGCUUUUUGGGAUGGUGAGGCCGAGGAAGGUGUUAUACAUGGCCAUUGAUGGAGUUGCCCCCAGGGCAAAGAUGAACCAGCAGAGGUCACGGCGGUUUAGAGCUGCGAAAGACGUAGCUGAUGCUGCGGUGGAGGAGGAGAGGCUUCGUGAGGAGUUUGAAGCAGAAGGGAGGAAGCUCCCGCCUAAAUUAGAGUCACAGACUUUUGAUUCCAAUGUCAUUACGCCUAGGACUCCUUUUAUGGCUAUUUUGUCGGUUGCAUUGCAGUACUAUAUUCAUCUUAGGUUGAACAAUGAUCCUGGGUGGAGAAAUGUUAAGGUUAUUCUUUUUGAUGCAAAUUCUCCGGGUGAAGGGGAACAUAAGAUUAUGUCAUAUAUUCGUCUUCAAAGAAACCUUCCUGGUUAUGAUCCUAAUACGCGUCAUUGUUUGUAUGGUUUGGAUGCCGAUUUGAUUAUGCUGGCUUUGGCUACACAUGAAGUUCAUUUUUCAAUUCUUCGGGAGGUGGUUUACACUGCACAGCAAGACAAAUGCUUACUUUAUGGUCAGAUGGGGCAUUUAGCCGCAGAUUGCCAAGGAAAGGCAAAGCGUAAGGAUGUGGAUAUGCUUGAUGUUGAUCAGAAAGGUACUGGUGCUGAGGUUGUGGCCAAGAAGCCGUACCAGUUUCUCAACAUUUGGACUCUUAGAGAAUAUUUAGACUGUGAGAUGCGGAAUAUUCCAAAUUCCCCAUUCGAGAUUGAUCUUGAGCGCAUUAUCGAUGACUUCAUAUUUAUUUGUUUUUUCGUUGGAAACGACUUCCUGCCGCAUAUGCCUACUCUGGAGAUUCGUGAGGGUGCAAUCAACUUGCUUAUGGCUGUAUACAAAAAGGAAUUUCAUGCACUGGGUGGAUAUUUGACUGAUUCAAGUAAGCUGAAUUUGAGUCGGGUGGAGCAUUUCAUUCAGGCAGUUGGUUGUUUUGAAGAUAAAAUAUUCCAGAAACGAGCUCAGUUGCAUCUGCGGCAGGCACAAAGAAUCAAACGUGCCAAGGAGCAAGUUCCCCAAGUGCAGCCAGAUUCUUUAGUUGCAGUUAAUCGAUUUCAAGGUUCUCGUCUUGCUUCAGGUCCUUCUUCUGCGCCAUAUCAACAGUAUACUAGAUUAUCUGGUAGGGGAAAUCUUGAAAAAGUUGCACGCUUGUCUUCAGAGGCAUCAAGUAUCGGUGCUGCUAUUGUUGAAGCUGAGAACAGCAGUACUCCUGAUGUCGAAGAACACAAAAAUAAAGAAGAUUUGAAAGCAAAGCUCAAGGAGGUUCUUCGUGAGAAAUCUGAUGCUUUUAACUCUAAAAGCCCCCAAGAGGAAGACAAGGUCAAGUUGGGAGCACCUGGUUGGAAGGAUAGGUACUAUGAAGAAAAGUUUUCCGCCAAAACUCAAGAAGAACGUGAAGCAGUUUGGAAAGAUGUUAUCUUGAGAUACACAGAAGGUUUGUGUUGGGUGAUGAAUUAUUACUAUGAAGGGGUUUGUUCAUGGGAGUGGUUUUAUCCUUAUCAUUAUGCACCCUUUGCUUCUGAUCUUAAGGACAUAGGUCAGCUAAAUAUAAGCUUCCACUUGGGCACUCCCUUUAAACCCUUCAGUCAACUGUUGGGGGUUUUCCCAGCUGCAAGCGCUCAUGCCCUUCCUGAGAACUACAAAAAGUUAAUGAUUGAUCCAAACUCGCCUAUUAUUGACUUCUACCCUACUGACUUUGAAGUGGAUAUGAAUGGGAAACGGUAUGCAUGGCAGGGUAUUGCAAAGUUGCCAUUCAUUGACCAAGAUCGUCUUCUUUCUGAGGUUGCAAAAAUUGAACACACAUUGACAGAGGAGGAAACCCGGAGAAACUCCAUGAUGUUUGAGAUGCUCUUUGUUUCAUCUUCUCAUCCUCUCUCUGUAUGCAUAUACUUUCUUGAUGAUUGUAGUAGACAGUUGACAGACAAAGACCGAGUUGAGGCUAAGCAACAAAUUGAUCCUAAAUACAGUGAAGGGAUGAAUGGUUAUCUAUCUUCAUGUGCUGGACAGUCAUGUCCACCUAUUUUUCGGUCUCCUGUUAAAUACAUGGAGGAUAUUAUGGACAACCAAGUCAUCUGCGACUGUGACAGUGGGGGAUCUGAAGCCUGCACCUAAUCUAUGGCAUGAAGAUUCUGGGCAGAACCAUCCUAGAACCACUUCACAAAGACAUCUUGUAACACCCCAGGACUCAUUCCGCCGUAACACGAUAUUGUCCGUUUUGGGCCCACCGGCCCUCACGGUUUUGUUUCCGGCAGCUCAGGAGCAGCUUCCCAGUAGGUCACCCAUCUUGGGAUUGCUCUAGCAUCAACAUGCUUAACCUUAGAGUACCCAUCCCCUCCGAAGCCGCUGAGCCACCAAAAGGCCUCGUGUUAGAUUGGAGGUGGGCAUGUACAUAUACAGCACAUAACCCCUCUCCGUUUGGCCGAUGUGGGAUAUUACAAUCCACCCCCUUGGGAGUCCGACGCCCUCGUCGGCACACUCGCACCACACAGCAGAGUGGCUCUGAUACCAUUUGUAACACCCCAGGACCCAUUCUGCCGUAACACGAUAUUGUCCGUUUUGGGCCCACCGGCCCUCACGGUUUUGUUUCCGGCAGCUCAGGAGCAGCUUCCCAGUAGGUCACCCAUCCUGGGAUUGCUCUAGCAUCAACAUGCUUAACCUUGGAGUACCCAUCCCCUCCGAAGCCGCUGAGCCACCAAAAGGCCUCGUGUUAGAUUGGAGGUGGGCAUGUACAUAUACAGCACAUAACCGCUCUCCGUUUGGCCGAUGUGGGAUAUUACAAUCUGAUACCAACUGUCAUGACCCACCCCGAAUUUCACCCUGAAACUCGAAGUAAAUCCUGCGGGGACCACCUCCAAGGAAAAUUUACCGAAAAUUCGGCAUAACCUCCCUUGAAAAUGGACAACCCUUCCUAAAUAAAACACCUGCAAACACUUCUAAAAGUUCCAACUCCAACCUUAACUCCUGGAGCCUUCGAGCUCCCCACAAAUCACAACAUCUCCCAAAAUAGAUUCACUAAUCUAACAAAUAAUCCUAUAACCAACAACCACAAAUUCAGAGCAACUCUACUUGAGAGGAGAGGAACUAGAAAUAAAUAGAAAUAAGCGGAAGCUAUACUAUUGACUAUGCCUCUUCACCAUGUACGCUCAGCCUCACUAUGCUAACCUGCAACUGGGCAUUUAUAAAACGAAGAGCCCAGGGGAAAACAUUUGAAACCGUUAGAGUGAGUGGACAAAAACAUAAAUUUAAUGAAAAUAUUUAUGCUUUCCCAAUUUACAUUUCCAUAGAAAUAUGCUGCAUGCGACAGCUCAAAAAUGCUCAACACAAAAACUGGCAAUUUCAUGACUAGCUCCGGCCAGUCUCCAAAGCUCAAUAAAAUACAGCCUCUCAGGCUAAAAUAAAAUAUGUAUGUAUUACAUUUGUCAUAUCCCUUAUAUGAAUUUUCUUGAAACAACAAAGACAAAUAGAAAAUUCACACAAGGCUACGACGCUUGCGUCUAACGCUCACGUCGCACCAUAAUGGCAUUUUAUCUCAUUAUGGUGGAAAAGACGGUGUAUAAAUAUAUACGCGCAUAUCCCCUAUAUAAAUUAUUAUAUUUAUAUAGGGCUACAACGAUUGCGUCUAACGCUCAAGUCGCACCAUAAUGGAAUUUUUACCUCAGUAUGGUGGAAAAGCACGUAUAGUUAGCUAGCAUUCCCUCAUAUACAUAUUAUUCUCAUAAUCAUCCAAAUAUGGAUAUAUAUACAUACUCACCGAAAUUCUCAAUUUCGGUUAUUCUCCAACAAUAAUGAAAAUUGCCAAUUAUCAUAAAAAGCAAUACGCACACGACUCUACCGAAAAUCUCAUUUUCGGUAACUUUCCAAAUAACACGAUAGCCAUUAAAAAUGAGAACAUUUACUUCUGAAAAUGACUUCGCGAAAAUAGACAAAUCCAUAAAUUGAUAUUCAAUAAAAUCAAUCAUUUAAUGUAGAAUCACCGUAUGCAUAUAUUUUAAAACAAAAGUCCACUCACAACUUUAGGCCUAAGCCUGACGUCGAUCCGAGGUCUCUUUUGCUUGAGCCUCCUCACGUCCUGUUUCCAAAAGUAAGAUUAAUUUCCCCACUAAUACUCCAAACAUUUACAAAAUAGGCAAAAUUAAACGUGAGCCAACCACGCUCAUCAUUGCCUAAUUUCGAUAUUCCUAAUUCGAAAUGCUCCAAACUUCACCGGAAAAAAAAUGGCAGCCUUAGCACAACCUUCAUAGAUUAUACGACUUUAAUCUAAUGGCCGGAUUCUACAUUAAUUAACCGCCAAAAAUACUCGGAAAUUCACAAACCUAACCAAAACUCCUCCAAAAAUUCUAUAAUCCACUUCAUUAAACUCCUUUAAUUAUUACACAUUUAAAACCAUACAAAACUCCCAAACAGCGGCGGCCGGAGGCCUAUUCCGGCGACUUCCAAUGCCUACCAAAUUUUAACAGCAGUUUCAUCUCAACAUCCCAAACAACUUUCGUAACUAUCACUAAGUCCAAUUUCAAGCCUAAAUAGGGUAAUCAAAUCAAAACAUCCAAAAAUCACCCAAUUCAAACCCUAGCCCGAAAAUCGUCCUACACACUUCGAAUUGGAUCAUUACCUUCUAGGGAAAUGCUACACACGGAGAGCACUUCCAAAUGGAACUGAAAUCAUCAGAAAUGGUGGCCGGAAGAGCGAGUUCCGGCGUCGGGACUCCACCACGCAGCCGAAGCUUCCGGGCGAGCUCUCUCCUUCACGGCGGCGCUAGGGCAGCUCCCACCGGUCCAAGAAGAAGGCUGGGUCGACGGCCGACCGUUUGGGACCGGUGCGCCGGUCUAUGGUGGCCGGACGGCGGCGGACGGCCAAGAAGAAUUCCGGCAGCAAGAGAGAGAGAGAGAGAGUCGGGGAAGAGGAGAGAAGAGAAAGAGAAGGAAAAGAGAGGGAGGGAAUUGGGCCUCCCAACCGGUCCAACCCAUUAUAACCACACCAACUCCAAAAAUAAAACACCCCGAAAAAAUACCCCAAUAAAAAUUACCUUUUACUAGCUAAAAUUUACUAUUUUUACCGUCGUCAAAUUUUUCUCCUACGAAUAAUUCUCCGAAAUAAUCGUCCCUCAAAACCCCUCUAGGGACCAAUUAAACCAUAAUUUAUUGACGGAGACGGUAAAAUUCUUAUUAUAAUCAAGCUAGUAAAUAAGGUAAAAAUUUAAGGGUCGGGAUGUGACACAUCUUGGGGAUGCUGCACAUCGACCGGUUGUUAAUAGCUUACAGGUGAGGGUAGACAACAAUAGUUAUGCUAACCAAAUGCAUGCCCAUCGACCACUGUCUCAUGCAGGGCCUCAAUAUUACCCAUUUUACUCUUCCUACAAUGAUCAGGGACUACUUGGAGUGCCACCACCUAGAACAUUUCAGCAACAUCAAGGUCAACACUACCAAAAUUCAAGUUUCACUGGUGAACGGCAUUCAUCAUUAGCUGUGUACAAUGCUCAGAAUAGAUCUUCUCUGGGCACCCUUACUAUCAGUCAGGAAGACAUCUGAAUGGUGGGCUCAUUUACCCUCAGAGACCUAUGACACAAGCUCCUCCAGGCUCGAGACCUUCUCAAGGAGUUUAUAACAAGUAUCAAAGUUACUAGCCAUCUGGAGCGCCUCGUUAUCAAAGGUUUUGAUGGCGGGAUUCCACAGAUUAGUCAGAAUACAGGCAGAAGGUAUGGUACAGGAAAGAGUAUGUUCAUUGAAUUAGGUCCAGGACAUCGAUUAGGUUCUGUACAUUGUCAUAUAUAUCUUAAUGUACAUUCCACAGGCACAAGAUUAGUUGCAUUAUUACUUUUCAUCAGUGACUGUAGAUUGAAAUAUUUUUGUUCAGUUCAUUCUGGUGUUGAGAAGAGUUGUAUAUUCCUAAUUCUUUUUAAAAGUCUUAACUACAGAACUAUAUUCGAGUUUUAGUUUCAAUUUGAACUUGGUUUCUUUUUCUUUAAGUUUAAUUUUAGCAAAAUCGCAUCUAUAUCAACAUUGCCUCAAACUAAUAAUAGAACACUGAAAAUCUACAUAAUCAAAGAAAACCAAAUAUUGCCAUAACUUAGCCACUAAGAGUCAGAAAAUUGACCAAACCUAACCAUUCACACUUCUUGAUCAAGAUUAGUUUGAAGGACGAGGCAUUGCAUUAUGAUCAUCACUCAUCAGAUCAUAUCUCGUUGCUGGGUUUAUGCCAUUGACACACACACAGAGACACGUUUAUUGCCUUCUAGUCAAUUUUCAUCUGUAAAAUUGUUAUAUACAAUUUAUUGGCCACCUUGAUGGACAAGAAAAAGUUCGCUUUUCGACACAUACUUUAUCUAUCUAUUGCUUCUUUCUGAUCAUUCUUUUUGUAUAAAACUAUCUAUCUAUCUAUUGCUGUGGUGGACUGCCUUCAAUCUGUGCUCGCAUAGAGGUGGAACUGAUCACGCAUUGCCACCGUGAACUCAGUUCCACAAAAGCAACAAAACUUGGAGCUCUGCUUGGAAAACUUAGCUAUCUAUCGUACAAGUAUCUUGCCAUUUGAAUUAUCCUGUUCCAGACACUUCCGUCACUUCACUGCUUUGACAUGCUUCCUGUUGUUGAAACUUCUUCAACAAGAUAAUAAAUGAUAACAGAAGGCAAAUCGUGGAAGUAGCACCGGAUAAUACAUAGAGGGCCAUAAAAUUCUUGAGGCUCAAACUAUCUGGUCCAUCAGAAGUUGCAUUGUUUGAACACUCAUGAUUGGGUGUUAACGAUCUUCAAGUAACUUCAGUUCUCCAUUCUCCAGUAACUAGAAUUGCCUUGGUGAAAUACUGAAUUUACGGGCAAUUGGAGACCCUUUCUGAAAUAUCUGCAAGGUACAUAUUUAUAAUUAGUUGGUUGAUUAGAAUCUGGUUUUAUUUCUUCUAGUUUAGACAAUUAGACAUAGUUUACUUCAUCUGUCAUGAAAUAUAUAAAGAAUAGUACAAGAGGAACAAUAUAGUCACUACUCACAAAGCCUAGUCCUCCCAAUUUAAAGAUCAUUAUAGGACAUGUGUAAUCUUCCAUUUUUAAGAGCUUAAAAUUUUAGACCUGAUGGAUACAUUCUGCACAAAUGCAUACCGUUAUUCAAAUGACAGUAGUCUUAUUCUCCUUCUAACGGUGGGAAAACUCUCUUAUUAUGACCAUGAGCAGAUUUAUCUCGAGUGAAGAUGUUCAUUGGCCGGUGAAGAACCAAAACCAAGUUUGAGGUCAAAGAUUUUAGGUUUAUGAGUAUCAACCAUAUUAAUGUUUUGUUGUAUCACAAAGACAUCAUUCUCUAAUGGGAUACUUACAACCUUUGUAUGUGUAACCAUAUUGAAACUCUGACAUUGAUUAGUUUAUAUUCUCUUUAGGAGAAUCAUGUCACUUAGGUACAUAUGCCCACAGAUUGAAUGUGUUAAUAUGGUUUGUCUCUAGGACUUUAACCCAAGCAAAUGCCAUAGCAUUUACAUAAAAUUUUAUCAAGAUCUUUUCUCAACUCAUUUGCUGAGAUAUUUCUCAAAACCAAAAUAAGAUGAUGAAUAGACAAUCUUUCUCCCCCUCAUGACAAGAGGAGUGUCUCAUUGAGGUGAUGACAACGUACUCGAAAAUGCGGCAUAUAGACUAGUGGUUAUCAAAACUUGUAACUCAUUCAACAUAACACUCUCGGUAAAUUAUGACUUAGCUAGUCAUGUCUGGUUUCAAUGAACUUUUGGUUCAUGAUAUUAUAUGUCUUAAGUUAUUGUAGAAAUUUAACACUGUAUGCACUCUUCUGAGCCAUCAAUGAUACAUAUAAUCAAAGGUUUGAGUUUGAAAUUUACUAUUAGAACUUCGGGUUCUACAGUAAAAUAUUUUGAAACUUCUGGUUCAAAAAUAUUACACUCGAAAUUCAUAUGAUUGAGAUGUAGGGUUGUUGGCCCGAAUGAAUAAUAAUAAAAUUUAAAUGAAAGUAUUGUAACGAAAGUGCAUAACAAAAUGAGAAAAUUGUAAUGAACAUAAAUAAAUAAACUUCACAUUGGAAACUUCUGGUUCCAUAGAUGAAGAAAAAACACAGAACUUCACCAAAUAUGAUAAUCUUAACUUCGCCAAAUAUGAUAAUCUUGAUUUACUGAUCUCCAUAACAUAAUAUCAUAUAAGGUGAGGAACUUCAAGCCCUCAUAUGAUUCAAAAUGUGGUUUUGAUCAUUGUAUAACUGUGAGGAACUUCUGGUCCUUGUUAAUCGCGUAAGCUUUGAGAGACUUCAUGUCACAAUUUUGAUUAUUGUUCUUACGAGGAACUUCAAGUCCUCUAUUGUUUGAUCAAGAGACUUCAGGUCUCGAUCUAUGAUCACACAAUUCACAACUAGGUGUAACCAUGAGUUUACUCUCAAAUAAUAAAAUUGGAACAUAUCGUGAAAUAUACAAAUUGACAAAUACAUCCAUUCGGUCAUAAAACUAAAACCAGGAUCAUCACCAAAUAUUAACAAAUUAAAAUACAGUAGAAUAAUUGAAACGCGUCUCUAACCAUACUGAUUGACGAAUAGAAGAUUUAAAGAUAACAUAGAUCGGCUAAACUAUUAUCAGAGAUAUUGAAAAACUCAUAGAUCAAGAAAGUUUAUGGCUAGGCAACAAAAUCAUCCCAUAUGACUCAUGGAUCAUCAUAAAGUACAACAAUAAAGACGAAAAACAAAGUAUGAUCGUGUAAAAGUGAACGGCAAAAAUCAGUUUUGGUUUUCUAGGGUUAAUCGUUAUCAACACGACUCUAUCUUUUGAGUUGAUAACGUGUUGUACAGUAAAGAAAAGAAUACACAGAAAGAAUAGUUGGGAUGAGGUGGAAGUGUACACAUUAAUUCUCACUAGCCUCCUUAUAUAGAGGUAGAAUUUAUACGGAGUACAUAACUAACAAGUAAUUACGUGGACAACCACAUAAUUUAUAAUAUUUAUAACAAAUAAGAAAUUUUAUGUUUUUUUAGAGAGUAAGAAAUUUUAUGGUAAUAUCAAAGUUAUCCUACUUUUUUGAUGUUCAAUAUUUCCGGUGUGUGUUCAGUGUAACCUUUACAUAAAAAUACCCCCAGUUUGAUUCUUCUUCCUCUCAGUUGCCGAUUCUAAACCCCCUAAAACCCAUGGCCUCCUUUGCCGCCAGGUCCAUGCUCCGCUCCGCCGCCGCCAGAACCACCACCCUAGGUUCUCGGGUCGCCUCCGCUGCUCGACCAAAACCCGCCUCCGCACCAUUCAGCAUCCCCAAGCAAAACAAAAACCCCAUCUCUCACGCCAUUUUCAGGUACCAAACCAUAAACCCUAAAUUUUUGUUAUGAUUCUUCGCUUUCAGUUUUGACAUUAUUGAAAAUCUUGUUUGAUUGAGCUUGUGAAGGUCGCCUGUGGAGUUGAGCUGCUGCGUGGAGACGCUGCUUCCCUAUCACACUGCCACAGCCUCUGCAUUGCUUACUUCCAUGCUCUCUGUCUCGCAACGCUCCUGCGGUUGGACCCCUGAAGGUAUUCCCUUUCUGCAUUUGAAUCGAUUAUGUGGAAUUUGUGAAACUGUGGUUGAUAGUUGCUGAAAUGUGUUGUGUGUGGCAUUGGAAUUAGAAUUUACCGAGUUAGUAUAUGGUGUGUUCAAUCUUGUUUCGUUUUGUGUACAUUACAAGUUAUGUCAUCUAGUCUUGUAAUAUGAAGAGAAAAGUUCAUGGCUUUAACUGAUAUUUGUCUGUCUGUUGAUAUAAACUUAUGGAAGCAAUGUUCUUUCUGAUAUUUUAUGUGUAAAUUCAUUGCUAAAUAUGUCAGCUUUCUAACUAGAUUUGCGUGUGUUACAGUAUAUAAUUCAAUUUGGUGCAUAUAGUUGUUAUAUUCAUCAUCUGCAAUAGUCAUGAGGGCGGACUUCAUUGCCCCUUAGAGAUACUAGUGGUGUUGAAGCUGGAAUAAUUUAGUUUGUUUAAAUAUUUGCAAGAGCAGCACACACCCCAAAAGCUUUUUUUUGGUUGCUUCAUUCGUUUAUGGAGCAUAGGAAUCGUUUUAUGUAGUCCAUUAUUAGUUUGGUCACUAUUUGAUCUUUCUAUUCUAGGAAGUUGGAGUCAAUUAGGUCAUAAUCAAGGCUGUGAAUUGUAGAUGACAACCAGACUAGAAAGACUAGUAAAAUACGCAAAAGAAAUAUUUUGGUUAAUGAUUGGAUUCAUGGUCUGAAUCUUGAGUUUGCAGAGUGAAAUAGGGUUUUGUUUACUUUUUAUAUUUUAUAUUUUUAUUUUUGUCUGAAGCCCAGUGAUAUAUAGAAGCGAAUAUCGAGAUUUAUGCCCUGAAGAGAAUGGUAAAAGAGAUGAAAAUGGGUAGAGAAAAUAAAGUGAUUUUCUUUGUUUAACCUCUGAUGAUCAUCUUCAAGCAUUUUGACAGCUAGGUGGCUAGUCGUCUAUAAAAGAUAAACCUGAAUUAGACUUAUCAAGAAUGCAUCUUUUCGCAUUACUUAGGUCUACAUUUUAAUUGUGUUGAGUUUUUUAUUAGGUGCAAGCACAAAUUUAUAAUUUUAACCUACAAUCUAGGUGGCCUAAUUGUUUUACCUUUCAAUUGCUAGAACGCAUCUUUUCACAUUACUUACGUCUACAUUUUAAUUGCGUUGAGUUUUCCAUUAGGUGCAAGCACAAAAAUAUAAUUUUUACCUACAAUCUAGGUGGCCUAAUUCUUUUUCCUUUCAAUUGUUUUCUUUUUCUGAGAAGGGGGUUGAUGUUAGAUGAUGAUGGCUGGAAGUGUGGCCAGGACAUUUGCAUUAAAUUGUGUGAGACCAUUCUUUUUGUCCUUUUUUUUUUUUUUAAUUUUCAAAUUUCCUUAUUUCCAUUGGGUGAUCCCAUCCUCUACAUUUUUCCUGUCUUGCACAAUGAAAGAAUGCAUGUGCUUUGUCUUUUGUAGGGCAAGACAAGACUAGAUGAGGAUGAAGCAUCAAAUAUGGAGUGAUUUGGAUAUGUAUUUGUUGUCAACUAUUGAGAGUAUUUAUUGGUUACUGUUCUCCAGUAGACUAGAUGAGAAGACCCUCAACUUAAAGUUAUGUGGACAUUUGAGAAGAUGAACUCUAUGUUUGAUAACAAUAAAAUUUUAAGAAUUUGUCUUUUGCAAAUUUUGUGCAUUCCUUUUUGUUUGGUUGACAUAGCCACGUUUACAUUCAGUAUAUAAUUCAAUUAGUAGACAUUACCCAUGCAGAAUUUUGAGUUUGUGUAAAAGUAAAUUUCAGAUUUGUGUGUCUAUGGCAGUUGUAUUUUAUUCAUAUGAUUUGUGCUGUUUUCUGCUGAUAUGAAGAAUAAAACUUUGAAUGGAAUUGCAUAAGGGUAUUCCAACAUGAAAACACUAGCUGAAAUUUUUUUUCUUGUCUUUGUUAUUCAUGUCAGUAUAAUCAUACAACGAAGUAAUAAUUUUAACAAUAAAAAUAACAAUACUAAUAUGUUGUAUUCACUCAGCUUGCAAUGAUGAAUGCUGAAUAUCAGACGGUUCCAGCAACAUUAUAUGUGAUUGCGCCCUAAGACAAGGUGGUAAAAUACAGCUUCUUACUAGGGUUUUGUAGAUGAUUCUGUGAGUUUCUAUAGCUGGACAAGGUGGAAAUGAUAAUCAGUCUGUAGUAUGAUGGUGAUGAUAACAUGUAUUGCACAUAUGUACAAUUUGGGUUCAUGUUAACCGAUGGUUUCUUCGUUGCAUUCUCUGACUAAAUGUUUUGAUUGUUAGUGGGUUGCUUCCACAUCAAAAAUUUGUCCUUAAUGUGGGAUUUCCUUUAAUUACUUCACAGGGUAGUUGAGUGAUUGUACUUUAUGGUCGUAGAAUAAUUUUGGGACAUGUCAAUACAGUAAUUAUUAUCCAAGAUGAGAACUUUGCAAGGAUGAGUGGCUGGAGCGAGAAAACAAAACUAUUUUUUGACUGUUAUGAGUUAAUCGUAUUCUUCCGGAUGCUGCCCCCUUCUCCUUUUAAAUCUUUCCUGAGCUCCCUUUGACUUUCACUGUUUCUUUGUUUAGGAACUGAUGAUUCCUAGUUAGCAGACUUCAGUGUUUGGCUUGGAGACUUAAAGGUGCACUUAUGUUUUACAUUGCCUAUAAAGGUUCACAGUGGUUCAGGCAGUUUUGCUCUUUUUCGGUUGCUGAGGAAAAACUCAAAUAGACUGCAUUGAGUUAUUGUUUGAUGCGAUGACUGUGUGAGAAUGUGAAUUAGUUUGGUGCCUUUGUGAUUUAUUUUUUCUGUUCAUUAAUUUUUUCAUUUAAUCUGUGAGAAUGAAGUUGUACUGAACCUUUUCGGGUUAGAAAAUGUAGACAAAGUAAAGAGAUGCAAGAGUCUCUAGACUUUGUUAGAAGCAAUAGUGAAAGGAAAAGUCAUAGUGUUUUGAUUUUCUAGCACGAGUGAGCAGGUUAUAUAUAGAACCUUGUCAGGCCAGGUUAUGCAUUUGGUUCCUUUUAGCGUUCAACGCACAUAGAACGGCAAGAUUAACUAUCUAUUAACUAAUUAGUGUGGAAAGAAUUUCGUAUCUCUGACUUGGGGAAUGUGGAAUUAAGUUGACAUCAUGAGUCUUGAGGGUUGGGAAUGAAGAUGAACAGAUCUUUUCUUUAUACAAAGAUGAACAGAUGUUACAGAUCUUUGCAACAUCAAAGUUGAUCAUUUCUUCAUUUGGUACGUGUAAUAGCAGUGGUGAACUGUAUUCAAUCUGGUAUGCUUCUUGUAAUUGCAGUCAAUGCAGUGAUAAAAGGAUACAUGAGGAUUUUGUUUUAUAAUUAAUGCAAGUCGUUGCCAGUGUCCUAAUCCGUCAAACUUCCUUUUGAUAUACAUGCUUAGCUGCUGCAAGUUAUCCCGUGGUUGAGAGGAAAUUCAAGUUCCCUUGUUGUCAUAACCAGCUAGAAUUAUUAUGGAGCAUCAUUUUCAUGCGGGCUAUAAGCUUGAACUGCAUGAAGUUUGGAUUGGAUACCAUGGUCUUUGGCUUCCAUGAUAUGUUAAAAGUGAAAAGUAUUCAGCUCAAAAUCGAUUACAUUAUAUCACUUAGCGGUCUUAGCCCGUGAAACAGUUGAGUUCCGUUCAAAAAAAAAAUGUUCGAGUCAUUUCUAUGCAUCUAUUUUGGUUAUCAACCUGGUUACCAACUGAUCAAGAAAAUCAUUCUCAACUAUCAUUGGACAUAAAUCUAAGGUCUCGUUUGUUUUACGGAAAAUAGACAUCAGAAAAUUUUUCCUGUGUCUGGGGAAGCAGAAGGAAAGAAAACACUAUCCUAAUUGUAAGAAAAAUGUGGGGAAAAUGGUUCCUUUCAAAAUCCAAAAGAACCACUUUUCUUCAUUCUUUCCCUGUAUUUAUUACUCACAACUUAAUAUUUUAUUAUUAUAAUUAUCAAUUUUCCCGAUGACUUUCCUUAUGUUACCAAACAUCGGAACGAAAAGUUCUUAUAAAAUUUCAUUCCCGUUCACUUUCUCUUCUCAUAAGAAAGAUGAAGGAACUACUUUUUCUUCCGUGAACCAAACGAGGCCUAAUAGUAGAGAGAAUGGCCUUGUAUUCUUGUUCUCUUCCUUUAUGUACGCUUUGCUUUCUUUUGCUUUGCCCAGGUGAAUGAAUUUCAUCAUUAUUGACCCCAAAAAAAAAAAUCAUUCUCAACUAGAGAAUUAUUUUCAAGUACAAUCAUUUAAUUUUUCACCCUUGGAUGUAAAUGUAAGAGUUAUUAAGUAUUUUUAUUUGGUCAAGUUGAUGACCAGGCAAACUCUACUGCUACUUUAGUUUGUCUUUAUUCUUUAACUUCGUACGUCACUAAUUAUUUUUAAGAAAAAUUCCCACAAGCCCUAAAUUCAGAGUAAUUUUUCCUACUAACAAAAUAAGAUUUUAAAAUGCCCAUCAACCCAAUAGACUCUUAAGAUCUACUCCCAUUAACAAAAAUUUUGACUUUUUGUUGUUUUUUUCCUUGACGAGAUUACCCCUGCCUCUUAUCUCUUUUUCUAUAUCCUCUCUCAUCUCUCUCUCUCUCUCUCUUUUUCUCCUCUCACGGAAAUCUAACUCUCUCUCUCUCUCACUCUAAAAAAGGCAAAGGCUCAUCUCUCUCAUCCUCCGCCGUCUACGCCGUCACCAACGNNNNNNNNNNNNNNNNNNNNNNNNNNNNNNNNNNNNNNNNNNNNNNNNNNNNNNNNNNNNNNNNNNNNNNNNNNNNNNNNNNNNNNNNNNNNNNNNNNNNNNNNNNNNNNNNNNNNNNNNNNNNNNNNNNNNNNNNNNNNNNNNNNNNNNNNNNNNNNNNNNNNNNNNNNNNNNNNNNNNNNNNNNNNNNNNNNNNNNNNNNNNNNNNNNNNNNNNNNNNNNNNNNNNNNNNNNNNNNNNNNNNNNNNNNNNNNNNNNNNNNNNNNNNNNNNNNNNNNNNNNNNNNNNNNNNNNNNNNNNNNNNNNNNNNNNNNNNNNNNNNNNNNNNNNNNNNNNNNNNNNNNNNNNNNNNNNNNNNNNNNNNNNNNNNNNNNNNNNNNNNNNNNNNNNNNNNNNNNNNNNNNNNNNNNNNNNNNNNNNNNNNNNNNNNNNNNNNNNNNNNNNNNNNNNNNNNNNNNNNNNNNNNNNNNNNNNNNNNNNNNNNNNNNNNNNNNNNNNNNNNNNNNNNNNNNNNNNNNNNNNNNNNNNNNNNNNNNNNNNNNNNNNNNNNNNNNNNNNNNNNNNNNNNNNNNNNNNNNNNNNNNNNNNNNNNNNNNNNNNNNNNNNNNNNNNNNNNNNNNNNNNNNNNNNNNNNNNNNNNNNNNNNNNNNNNNNNNNNNNNNNNNNNNNNNNNNNNNNNNNNNNNNNNNNNNNNNNNNNNNNNNNNNNNNNNNNNNNNNNNNNNNNNNNNNNNNNNNNNNNNNNNNNNNNNNNNNNNNNNNNNNNNNNNNNNNNNNNNNNNNNNNNNNNNNNNNNNNNNNNNNNNNNNNNNNNNNNNNNNNNNNNNAUUUGGUGAUCGUUAAGGCUUCAAAAGUCAAUUUAGUUUUAAUGACCUUCAACGGUUUUAGUUUGACAUAAGCUGGACCGUUCAAAAUCAUUAAAACUAAAUCAAACUUUUGAAAGUCUUAACGAUCACCAAAUCAUAUGAAAUUUUGUAGAGGUGAUCUACUCAUAUAGACUUAAGAUAUGAACGGUGGAGAUGUAAAAAUUCAAUUGGGAAGUGGUGUAAUGCCCUAUCCCUAGAAAGUGGCCAAAAAUAGAGAUCCCUCAAUGGAAGGGGGCUAUAUAUAUAUUAUGUUUUCUUAAGUUUCUGUUUAGCUUGAUGCGACCGUGAUAAAAUAAAGCAUGCUCCAGCAAAAAAAUGAUUUAGUUGUUUAAUUAGUUGUGUGAAAGUGCUUGCUUGACUAAUUAAUUAGAUGAGUUCAUUGACCAAUAAUUAAUCUGUACAGUUGAAGAGUAAAAGAAGACAAUAUAUACAGAUGACUAUGUUUAUAUGUUUCAGGUGUGCUACUCAUGAAUCUCUCUCUUUUUCGAGUGAUGAGUCUGAAUCUGAAUGGUAUUGCUUGCUAUGAUUGUAGAACUAGAAUAAUACAAGUGUAUAGCAUGAUAAUGCGUUGUGUCAAGUAUCUUGAACAUAAUCUAUUAAUUAAAUAGGAUUGAUGAUAUAUUAAAUAAGGGUUUGGUGGUGGAUAAAACACAGGUCGUUUGUUCCUACUGCCUCUAGUAGACCCUGGGCAUACCCUUCUACUAUCCCCAGUAGACCCUCUUACUGCUCCUAGUAGACCCUGGGUAGACCCUCCUACUACCCCCAGUAGACCAUUCUACUGUCCUCAGUAGACCCUCCUACUGCCCCCAGUAGACCCUGGGCAGACUCUCCUACUAUCCCUAGUAGACCCUCCUACUGCCCCUAGUAGACCCUGGGCAGACCCUCCUACUACCCCUAGUAGACCCUUCUACUAUCCUCAGUAGACCCUCCUACUGCCCAUAGUAGACCCCUGGAUAGACCUUAUGCAUAUUGCCUCCAAAAGACCCUCUACUGUCCUCAAUAUACCCCCCAAUAGACCCCAUACUGCCCCUAAUAGAACCCCUAGCUUUCGUCGGAGUCCGGUCAACAGUCGUCGGAACCCGGACAACGUCAUUGGCCAUGGGAAUCCUGUUCUAGAAUCUUGUUUUGUUAAUAGAUUUUUAUAAUGGUCUAUUGUAGUUUAUUUAAUUCAUUAAGGGUAUAAUUGUCUUUCUGUUAUUUAAGUUGGCUCUUGAGAAUUUUAAAAUCUAAUUUUGUUCGUGGGAAUAAAAUUCUUAAAAUUAGGACUAGUAGACAUUGUCCUUUAUUUUUAUUGUUUUUUGUCAGCUGUGCUAUAUAUAUAUAUAUUUUUUCAAUUUAUAUAUUUAAUCUGUACUUAGAAAGGUAUUUUUAGAAGUAACAAAUGAUAAAACUGUUAAUAAAUGUUCAUUGAUGAUAAAACAAUACAUCUAUUUAAAUUCCUUAAAGCGUUGCCCAUAAAAAUAAAAAUAAAUUACGAUCUAUGCCACUGACGAAAACCGUCGAAUUCUUAUCCGUCUUAAGGCAAAUCCACUCUCUUCCAUAUCUCUUCCAAAUCCCAAAUCCAUUUUAGAUCACCACCUCUCUCUCUCUCUCUCUCUCUCUCUCUCUCUCUCUCUCUCUCUCUCUCUCUCUCUCUCUCUCUCUCUCUCUCUCUCUCUCUCUCUCUCUCUCUCACAAAUCCGCCAGCGAUGAACCCUUCAUCAUUCCAACGCUACUCCUCGACCUUGCCAACUACGCCGACUAAGGCUGGGUUCCCGUUGACUACGCCAUACCACUGCCGGCGACAAGAAAUCAAAGGACGACGUCGAUGUACUGAAGGACGUGCUACUUCCAAUGUGGCGGAGGGUCAGGAGUACAAUGAGCCUCAAGGUUUGGCUCUCUUUGAUUGCUUUGAAAUGUGAAAGAUUGAAUCGUAUAGGAAUAUCACAUUUGUUGCGAGAUUGUGGCGCACUUCAAAUUUGAUAGGUUUCAGUUCAAAUUUUCAUGAAUAGGCAGUGAUCUGUGAUGCUUAUGAAUUGGUUUUACAAGAAGAACCUCAUUGAAUUUGGUUAUGCACACCAGGUGCUUGAUGAAAUGUCUGUGAAUGAAUUUUAGUGUUUUUGCUUGAUGAGACCACAAUGGACAUUAUGUGCUAGCGAGGGCUGACCUUCUAAAGAUCUUGAAGGAAUGUGAGGAAAGAGAUGUUACACGCUGCAAAGAGAUGUGCAUUAAAGAUGAAACCUUAAGAAAUACAUAAUUCUGCCCAGAUUUUCAGUCAAUUCGACGGCAAAUUGCGAGCAGCUCAGAGCGAUCCAGGAACCUUGCCUUAUAUCAACGGAAAGCUAGAAGAGUCUAGUUUCCAGAACUUUUCGCGGAUCGUUGAUAGCUAUUUUGUAGAGGAAGUUAUGCCCGUCGAAAGGAGGGAAUAUCAUUCUGCCGAAAACUGGAAAAGGAAGGAGAAAUUAUGUGAAUGGGCAUUUGACUCCAACAAAUUAUGUGUUGCUGAUACUCAUUAUAUACGACUUCUACAACUUAUAAAGCCAACACACAUCCACAUUAUGGUAAGUCUAGCCGCCCUUCCAGUGGAAAUAUGUGAAUGGAUAUCAGUUUGAGUUACAAGUUGUUACUUUUUGUUUAAAACUAGGGGAUAAGUUGUUCUUCCAAUUAGGUGAGAACUUUAGGGUUGUAUGGGCACGUGAUUGUGACAUAUGGUUGGCUUUCUAAAAAACUACAUAAACAUCGCUUGAUAUAUUAUUGUUGAAGGGCAUCAUCUGUCCUAAUUCUCUAGCAGCUUAAAAUGUACUUACAUUCUCUUUCCAUAUUUAUCUAACUAUUUAAAUGAUUUAUUUUAUAAGAGACUGGGAAGAUUGUGAAGACAAGUGACAUCUCUUUAACAGAACAAGCCUUGAUUUGUGUUGUUCAGAACAAGCCUUGAUUUGGUCUACAUUUAAGAGAUCAAGAUUCUCUUUACAAAGAUAGAACAUGGUGCAAUUGUUGUUCUUGUAUAGAUAAUUUGGUCU